rnacentral:rRNA from 1 species
UCUACGGGUGGCAGCAGUGAGGAAUAUUGGUCAAUGGACGCAAGUCUGAACCAGCCAAGUAGCGUGCAGGAUGACGGCCCUCCGGGUUGUAAACCGCUUUUAGUUGGGAAUAAAAGGGGGCCCGUGAGCCCCGUAUUGUAUGUACCAUCAGAAAAAGGACGGGCGAAUUCCGUGCCAGCAGACGCAGUAAUACGGAAGGUCCGGGCGUUAUCCGGUUUUAUUGGGUUUAAAGGGGGCGUAGGCCGGCUUUUAAGGUAGUUGGGAAAGUCCGCGGCUGAACCGUGGAAUUGCAGUUGAAACUGGAGGCCUGGAGUGCGCACAGGGAUGGCGGAAUUCGUGGUGUAGCGGUGAAAUGCGUAGAUAUCAUGAAGAACUCCGAUCGCGAAGGCAAGUGUCCGGGGUGCAACUGACGCUGAGGCUCGAAAGUGCGGGUAUCAAACAGGAUUAGAUACCCUAGUAGUC